rnacentral:rRNA from 1 species
CCUACGGGUGCUGCAGUGGGGAAUAUUGGACAAUGGGCGAAAGCCUGAUCCAGCCAUGCCGCGUGUGUGAAGAAGGCCUUCGGGUUGUAAAGCACUUUCAGUGGGGAAGAAAGCCUUGGGGCUAAUACCCUCGAGGAAGGACAUCACCCACAGAAGAAGCACCGGCUAACUCCGUGCCAGCAGCCGCGGUAAUACGGAGGGUGCGAGCGUUAAUCGGAAUUACUGGGCGUAAAGCGCGCGUAGGCGGUCUGAUAAGCCGGUUGUGAAAGCCCCGGGCUCAACCUGGGAACGGCAUCCGGAACUGUCAGGCUAGAGUGCAGGAGAGGAAGGUAGAAUUCCCGGUGUAGCGGUGAAAUGCGUAGAGAUCGGGAGGAAUACCAGUGGCGAAGGCGGCCUUCUGGACUGACACUGACGCUGAGGUGCGAAAGCGUGGGUAGCAAACAGGAUUAGAUACCCGAGUAGUC